GAUGAACGCUGGCGGCGUGCUUAACACAUGCAAGUCGAACGGUGAAGCAGGAGCUUGCUCUUGUGGAUCAGUGGCGAACGGGUGAGUAACACGUGAGCAACCUGCCCCUGACUCUGGGAUAAGCGCUGGAAACGGCGUCUAAUACUGGAUAUGUGAUGUGACCGCAUGGUCUGCAUCUGGAAAGAAUUUCGGUUGGGGAUGGGCUCGCGGCCUAUCAGCUUGUUGGUUAGGUAAUGGCUCACCAAGGCGUCGACGGGUAGCCGGCCUGAGAGGGUGACCGGCCACACUGGGACUGAGACACGGCCCAGACUCCUACGGGAGGCAGCAGUGGGGAAUAUUGCACAAUGGGCGGAAGCCUGAUGCAGCAACGCCGCGUGAGGGAUGACGGCCUUCGGGUUGUAAACCUCUUUUAGCAGGGAAGAGGCGAAAGUGACGGUACCUGCAGAAAAAGCACCGGCUAACUACGUGCCAGCCGCCGCAGUAA
rnacentral:rRNA from 1 species